rnacentral:rRNA from 1 species
CGUGGGUAUCGCGCUCUUGGAUGGGCUCAUGUCCUAUCAGCUUGUUGGUGAGGUAACGGCUCACCAAGGCUUCGACGGGUAGCUGGUCUGAGAGGACGAUCAGCCACACUGGCACUGCGACACGGGCCAGACUCCUACGGGAGGCAGCAGUAAGGAAUAUUGCGCAAUGGGCGAAAGCCUGACGCAGCGACGCCGCGUGGGGGAUGAAGGUCUUCGGAUUGUAAACCCCUUUCGGCAGGGAAGAUGGAACGGGUAACCAUCCGGACGGUACCUCCAGAAGCAGCCACGGCUAACUUCGUGCCAGCAGCCGCGGUAAUACGAAGGUGGCAAGCGUUGUUCGGAUUCACUGGGCGUACAGGGAGCGUAGGCGGUUAGGUAAGCCCUCCGUGAAAUCUCAGGGCCUAACCCGGAAAGUGCAGAGGGGACUGCUCGGCUAGAGGAUGGGAGAGGAGCGCGGAAUUCCCGGUGUAGCGGUGAAAUGCGUAGAGAUCGGGAGGAAGGCCGGUGGCGAAGGCGGCGCUCUGGAACAUUUCUGACGCUGAGGCUCGAAAGCGUGGGGAGCAAACAGGAUUAGAU